ACGAGGAGCUUGCUCCUCUGACGUUAGCGGCGGACGGGUGAGUAACACGUGGGUAACCUACCUAUAAGACUGGGAUAACUCCGGGAAACCGGGGCUAAUACCGGAUAACACAUGAAACCGCAUGGUUUCAUGAUGAAAGACGGUUUUGCUGUCACUUAUAGAUGGACCCGCGGCGUAUUAGCUAGUUGGUAAGGUAACGGCUUACCAAGGCAACGAUACGUAGCCGACCUGAGAGGGUGAUCGGCCACACUGGAACUGAGACACGGUCCAGACUCCUACGGGAGGCAGCAGUAGGGAAUCUUCCGCAAUGGGCGAAAGCCUGACGGAGCAACGCCGCGUGAGUGAUGAAGGUCUUCGGAUCGUAAAACUCUGUUAUUAGGGAAGAACAAGGAUGUAAGUAACUGUGCAUCCCUUGACGGUACCUAAUCAGAAAGCCACGGCUAACUACGUGCCAGCAGCCGCGGUAAUACGUAGGUGGCAAGCGUUAUCCGGAAUUAUUGGGCGUAAAGCGCGCGUAGGCGGUUUUUUAAGUCUGAUGUGAAAGCCCACGGCUCAACCGUGGAGGGUCAUUGGAAACUGGAAAACUUGAGUGCAGAAGAGGAAAG
rnacentral:rRNA from 1 species